AGUCAUAUGCUUGUCUCAAAGAUUAAGCCAUGCAUGUCUAAGUAUAAGUUCUAUACAGCGAAACUGUGAAUGGCUCAUUAUAACAGUUAUGAUUUCCUAGCCGGUCAGUUAUUCAUUGGAUACCCAUGGUAAUUCUAGAGCUAAUACAUGCUUACAGACCCAACUUCACGGAAGGGUUGCACUUAUUAGAUACCGAACCAGCCCAAGCUCUGCUUGGUUUUUGUUGAUUCAUAGUAGUCUGGCGAAUCGCCUAUCGAGGCGAUGAGGCUAUCAAGUUUCUGACCUAUCAGCUUCCGAUGGUAGUGUAUUGGACUACCAUGGCGGUGACGGGUAACGGAGAAUUAGGGUUCGAUUCCGGAGAGGGAGCCUGAGAAAUGGCUACCACAUCCAAGGAAGGCAGCAGGCGCGUAAAUUACCCAAUCCCAAUUCGGGGAGGUAGUGACAAUAAAUAUCAAUGCGGGGCACACAGUGUCUUGCAAUUGGAAUGAGUACAAUUUAAAUCCCUUAACGAGGACCCAU
rnacentral:rRNA from 1 species